CGAUCGCAAAAAAAAAAAAACUCAAAAACAAAAAAUCUGUUGACUCUCCCUCUCCGCUUCCCGCUAGAAAGUUGUUUACGUGCCCCGUCGUCAAAGGGUUAAACGGAAAACAAACAAAAAGCCAAGUGCAAGUGUUGAGUGUUGUGCAGCGCUCAAAUGUUGCGCCAAGUGUAAACAACAAACAGCAGUUACCAUUAAGGGAUUAGCUGAUUAACACUGACCAAUAAAAGAAGCAAAAAAAAGAAAAGAAAAAACAAAAAAGAAAAGGCCGCCAAGAUAGCCGAACUAAUCGCCGCCUCGCCGCCCGCACAAUCAACGCGCGUAUUUAUGACUAAAAUGAUUCCGCCGGUACCCACCUCAGCCGUCAUGUUGCCCACGCCCAAGCAGAAGAUCGGCUUCAGCAUCGACUCGAUUGUUGGCAACGAUGCCACAACGACGACGACGACGGCGACGGUGACGGUGACUGCCUCUGGAGGCAAUCCCGAUCAGCAGCCGGGCAGCCCUCAGCCGGAACGCAAUGGUCCCGGUUCCCCACCACAGACACCGCCAGCUGCGAUUACGUUGCUAUCAACGACGCCGACGCCACCGCAUCAUUUAAUGGCGCCACCAACACAUCAUGCCACUCACGUUAUGCCGUCGCACAUGGCACCGCAUCCACACCCACAUCAACAUCCGCAUCUCUCGCCAGCCCAGCAGCAUGCACUGCAUCAGCAUCUGCUGCUGCAGCAACAGCAUCAUCAGCAGGUCACACCAAAGUCACAUCAUGAUAUCCAGGAGCUGUUGCAGCGUCUGCAUCACAAUGCCGCCGUCGCCAACAGCCUCAGUCCGCUGCAGACCCGCCUCUCCCCGCUUGGCGGCGAACCUGUUGCUGUUUCCCUGAAACGCGAACGUUCCCCCGCCCCACCCGGCUCGGAGCAGACUGACAAUCCGGCUCAGCGCAUUCAGCCGCCACAUACGCCACCCAAAUCCGUCUCACCGCAAUCUUCGCAGCCCUCCUCAUCACCCACUUUGCUGGUCAGCAGUCCGCACAAUACACCACCCCAGCAACAGCAACAGCAGCAGCAACAGACACCCAGCUACCCAAAGCCUCCGGGAAUGCAUCCUGGUGCUGGUCCAGCCAAUGGUCACAGUCCCCUUAUGAUGCCGGGCAUGCCACCCGCCGGACUGGUACGUCCCUUUCCCAUGGGCCCAGGCGGUCCGCCGCAGCACCAAGGACAACCAGGCAUGCCGGACAUCAAGGCGCUGCCGCCGUACAUCAAUACGCCGCCAGAGCUGCCGCCGCAGCACAAUCCGCAUCUAAUUGCCGCCGCCCAAUUCCAAAUGGCUGCCGCCCUGCAGGCCGGUCAUGUACUGGGACCAGCAGCAGCAGCCGCUGCAGCGGCUGGUCUGCCUCCACAUGCGGCUGCCUCCUUUAUGGGCAGCCCGGGCAUGCCACGCGACAGUUAUCCGCUCUAUCCAUGGCUGCUCAGUCGCCACGGACGCAUCUUUCCGCACCGCUUUCCAGGAAACUUCCUUUUGCAACCGUUUCGCAAGCCGAAGCGCAUUCGCACCGCAUUCUCGCCGUCGCAGCUGCUGAAGCUGGAGCACGCCUUCGAGAGCAAUCAAUAUGUGGUCGGUGCGGAGCGGAAGGCGCUCGCCCAGUCGCUCAAUCUGUCGGAGACACAGGUGAAGGUCUGGUUCCAGAAUCGGCGCACCAAACACAAACGCAUGCAACAGGAAGACGAAAAGGGGGGCGGUUCCGGCUCUGAGCGCCACAUGCACAACGGCAGCGGUGAUGAGGAUGAUGAUGAGCUCAUCGAUAUGGAAAUGGAUGAGUGUGCCAGCGAUGAUGAGCAUGACCUCGAUGCGAGUCAUUAAUUUGGACUGCCUCCUCGCCUGCCUGCCUCGCAAUCUCUGCGCAUCUCCAUCCGUUAGAGUCUCGAUCUUGCGAAGAUGGCAAACCGACGGCAAAAAGUCAG
rnacentral:misc_RNA from 1 species